CACCACCAUCACCUCCCUCUGUGCUCUCCCUCUUCCCUCUCUGCCUUCCUAGUGUGCAUAGCUUGCGAGUGUGCGUGUUUGUAGAGUUAGUGUGUGUACUUGUGCGUGCCUACCGUGUGUGUGUGUGUGUACGAGAAGGACCAACUUUAACACAUGAGUUGAACAAAUGAUAUCAAACGUUAACAUUGAGAAGUCACCUGUUUUUGAGUUGGGAUAGGAUUCUUUAAGAAGACCGUCACUCCUGUAGCUGUGGACUUUCUUGCUGGUUUGAAAGGAAAUACACUGUUGCCAGUUAUUUUUUUUAAAUUAUUGUUAAUAUUGCCUUUAAGGUUUAUAUUUUUUAUGAUUUUGGGAAUAUCGGUUGUCUUACGUGACUAGAGCAACAGCAAAUUAUUUCGUUUAGCUUCCCUCUUCAUAAAUAGAUCGGUAUAUCAGAAAUCCAUUGAUCUGUACAGAGCUUGAAUUUUAUGCAACUUUCUUUUUUUUAAUGGCUUCGUCAAUUGUUUUGACCAGCGUGGCUUCGAUAUACCGCCUUCAUUUACUUUCUCAUGUUUACCAUUGUGUCUUCAGUAUAAACUCCAAACUCUUUCAGAGAGGACGAGCUCCAUGUGGCGGACGGGGAAAGGUUUGGGAGUGAACGUUUGAAUGCUCUGCUUAAACAAAAAAAUCUGAAAACAAAAGCCGCAUGUCCUGUGACCAAGCAUGAACUGUAUGUGGUUUCUCAUUCCUAAUUUAAUUGUGAUUGUGCCCCCCCCCCAUGUUAGAGUAUACAUUAACCUCAUGGAUGUGUUUUUUUACAAUGAUUUGAAAACAAGCCAGUUUUUCUGCACUGGGCAGAGCACAGCUACCUCAAUAUGAUGAAAGAUAUUUUUUUGCUCCUCUCUACAUAGUUUCCUAAACGGUCUUGCUAAAGCGUAACAUCUGAGGUGUGCCACUAUUUACUUGUGCAGAAAACGAGAACAUUUUCCUUCCCUCUUAACAUUUUAAAGGAUAUAUUUUGUUUGUAUUGAUUUUUGACUUUCAUUAACUUUAUUUGUGUUUUGCUUCGGAGACGGAACUGAGUGGGGAUGAUGUACGUUAAUUAGCAUCUCCACGGCGUUUGAUUCAAAGGACCGUAAUAUGAAAAUCCUAAGAAAACAAACAAAAUACUAAUGCAGAACCUACUCCAAAUGCACUCGGAUUGCAAAUACGAGCCCAAAAUGUUGUUUUUUACUUCAAGGAAAAAUACCCAUAAACCCUUUGAAUCAAAGUGUUUUCUGUCUUUAUUUAAUAUGAUUGAGGCCAAUGGCUAUCAGCAUUACUCAAAUCUAAUGUCUCCUUUUUGUAUGUGCAUAUAAUACUUGAAUACAAAUCAUUUCAGACACGUGAAUGCUUCAGUGUACUUGGCACAACAUGACGGACCGGAGAUAUUCACAGCACAGAUCUUGUGUAUAUUUGACUCUUACAGGCUUUAAUAGUUGGUCUUAGUUUGUGCUGGACUCGCCACACUCUGUGGCAGCGUGUACAUGAUGCAGUCAGCUGCACUAAUCUUACACCACUUAGAGUUAAGUGUUUUUGUGUGUGUGAAUUUCCACCAGUGAGAAAUCUAAAGCAUGUUUUUUGGGUAGAAGCCUGGGCUUGUUCGCACGGUUUGUGUUCCACUUAACAACUGUGUGCUUUUCUUCCUCAAUGCCUUCCAUUGGCUCCCCUGUCACUAGAGUUGGCUCUCAUAAAAGCUUUCCUGAUUUUAAAGAGUGGGCUCAGAGGCUGGAGCUGUCUGCUGUCCAGCAUGUGUGCUCACUCUUAACUUCAGACACCGUGAUGACCAGCAGUGUGUGGACCCUUGCACAGACAAGAAAAAAAAAAAAAAAAAAGGACAUGUUUUCACAGUAAUACGACCAAAUACACAAGGGUAUACUUAAAAGUGGUUUGGGCUGGAAAUACACUUCCCCAUGCACCACAACACACACACACGCUUCUUAACACACUUAUACCUCUGUGUGCAGAUGCUAUAUCAAUACGACACUAUUCCAGUUUUGUGUGCGGGGACGUUUUCAACACCCGCAAUGUUCUUUCUUGCAUGAAGAUCUUGUUUCCAACCUCCAUGGUAGCUUAGAGAAUCUUUCAUCUUUAACAACUGGGUUGAAUGGUCUUAGCUGUGCAUCAGUGUACAAAACAUUCAUGCAUGCGUUCCAGCUGUAUGUAGGCUUUGCAAUUUGUAUUUAUAGUCUAAUGUAUAAUACUCAAAUGACAUAUUAAGAUGGAUAUAUCAUAGAUAUGUAAAUCACUGUUUUUAUUGUAACCGUUUGAGGAAUUUGCACAAAAUUAGACUUGGAGAGAUGACUCAUGCUGAAUUUGACUGUGCUCUUGAGUUUUUUUUUGUAAUGUUUAAUUUUUCCCCUUUGACAACUACUGUAGGCCGAUCACUGAUCCAUUUACUUUCUAAUGAAGUCGUCUGCAAUGAGGACAACAGACACUUUGAUUCAUUGGUAAACCUGCAAUACAACAUUGUUGUCUUAUUGCCUCUGCGUUAUUAUUAUUAUUAUCAUGUAUCUUUAUCAACUGCUGUAAAACUGUGAUCUAAUGUGAGGGGGCCCCAUGCCGGGCCCCUCAGCGACACCUGAUCGAAGAACAAUUAACACAUGUAAAAAGAUGAUCAUUAUUGAUGACUAAUAAUGGUUGUACAUGCAUUACUGAGGUUGUGGUUUCAGGUAAAUAAAACAUAGUAUUUGAAUUGUG